UUGAUUUCCUUCGGGACUGAUUAUUUUGUGACUGAGUGGCGGACGGGUGAGUAACGCGUGGGUAACCUGCCUUGUACAGGGGGAUAACAGUUGGAAACGGCUGCUAAUACCGCAUAAGCGCACAGCAUCGCAUGAUGCAGUGUGAAAAACUCCGGUGGUAUAAGAUGGACCCGCGUUGGAUUAGCUAGUUGGUGAGGUAACGGCCCACCAAGGCGACGAUCCAUAGCCGACCUGAGAGGGUGACCGGCCACAUUGGGACUGAGACACGGCCCAAACUCCUACGGGAGGCAGCAGUGGGGAAUAUUGCACAAUGGGCGAAAGCCUGAUGCAGCGACGCCGCGUGAGCGAAGAAGUAUUUCGGUAUGUAAAGCUCUAUCAGCAGGGAAGAUAAUGACGGUACCUGACUAAGAAGCACCGGCUAAAUACGUGCCAGCAGCCGCGGUAAUACGUAUGGUGCAAGCGUUAUCCGGAUUUACUGGGUGUAAAGGGAGCGCAGGCGGUGCGGCAAGUCUGAUGUGAAAGCCCGGGGCUCAACCCCGGUACUGCAUUGGAAACUGUCGUACUAGAGUGUCGGAGGGGUAAGCGGAAUUCCUAGUGUAGCGGUGAAAUGCGUAGAUAUUAGGAGGAACACCAGUGGCGAAGGCGGCUUACUGGACGAUAACUGACGCUGAGGCUCGAAAGCGUGGGGAGCAAACAGGAUUA
rnacentral:rRNA from 1 species